GGAUGUGAGGGCGAUCUGGCUGCGACAUGUCACCCCAUUAAUCGCCAGGGUUGAUUCGGCUGAUCUGGCUGGCUAGGCGGGUGUCCCCUUCCUCCCUCACCGCUCCAUGUGUGUCCCUCCCGAAGCUGUGCGCUCGGUGGAAGAGGACGACCUUCCUGGAUAGAGGAGAGGACUGUUUUUCGGUCAAGGGUAUACAAGUAGCUGCGCUCCCCUGCUAGAACCUCCAAACAAGCUCGCAAGAGUUGUGUUUUAAGAAACAGGAGGGGCCUGAAGCUUUUUAACUUAAAAUAGCUGAUUUGUUUUAAUUUUUCACUCUGAAAACAGAAAAUAUGUU
rnacentral:snRNA from 1 species